rnacentral:rRNA from 1 species
GACGAACGCUGGCGGCGUGCUUAACACAUGCAAGUCGAACGGAAAGGCCCUGCUUUUGUUGGGUUCUCGAGUGGCGAACGGGUGAGUAACACGUGAGUAACCUGCCCUUGACUUUGGGAUAUCUUCAGGAAACUGGGUCUAAUACCGGAUAUGAGCUCCUGCUGCAUGGUGGGGGUUGGAAAGUUUCGGCGGUUGGGGAUGGACUCGCGGCUUAUCAGCUUGUUGGUGGGGUAGUGGCUUACCAAGGCUUUGACGGGUAUCCGGCAUGAGAGGGUGACCGGCGACAUUGGGACUGAGAUACGGCCCAGACUACUACGGGAGGCAGCAGUGGGGAAUAUUGCACAAUGGGCGGAAGCCUGAUGCAGAAACGCGGCGUGCGGGAUGAAGGGCUUCGGGUUGUAAACCGCUUUCGCAUGUGACGAAGCGUGAGUGACGGUAAUGGGUAAAGAAGCACCGGCUAACUACGUG